rnacentral:rRNA from 1 species
GACAGAGGGUGCAAACGUUGUUCGGAAUUACUGGGCGUAAAGCGCGUGUAGGCGGCCAACUAAGUCGGGCGUGAAAUCCCACGGCUCAACCGUGGAAGUGCACUCGAAACUGGAAUGGCUAGAGUCCUGGAGAGGAAGGUGGAAUGCUUGGUGUAGAGGUGAAAUUCGUAGAUAUCAAGCGGAACACCGGUGGCGAAGGCGGGGUCUCUGGGCCGAUAU